GGAAACCAUCAGGAACCUGCAGUCUCUGCGAUGUCCAUACGGCAAAUCGGAUUUUGUUUUUCACAAGGAUGAAACACAAAUCCUGCAAAACUCUGUGG